UACGUAGGGGGCAAGCGUUGUUCGGAAUUACUGGGCGUAAAGGGCGCGUAGGCGGCACGGCAAGUCGGGAGUGAAAGGCCUGGGCUCAACCGAGGAACUGCUUUCGAGACUGCCGAGCUAGAGUGCGGAAGGGGCAACUGGAAUUCCCAGUGUAGCGGUGAAAUGCGUAGAUAUUGGGAAGAACACCUGAGGCGAAGGCGGGUUGCUGGGCCGACACUGACGCUGAGGCGCGAAAGCUAGGGGAGCAAACAGG
rnacentral:rRNA from 1 species